UGCAAUCAAGGAUGAAGUUAUUAUGAUGCUGAUUUCCAUGAUUAUUUCUAACAAAUUAUCACCAUCUUUCGGCUGAGAUUGCA